GACGAACGCUGGCGGCGUGCUUAACACAUGCAAGUCGAACGGAAAGGCCCUGCUUUUGUGGGGUGCUCGAGUGGCGAACGGGUGAGUAACACGUGAGUAACCUGCCCUUGACUUUGGGAUAACUUCAGGAAACUGGGGCUAAUACCGGAUAGGAGCUCCUGCUGCAUGGUGGGGGUUGGAAAGUUUCGGCGGCUGGGGAUGGACUCGCGGCUUAUCAGCUUGUUGGUGGGGUAGUGGCUUACCAAGGCUUUGACGGGUAGCCGGCCUGAGAGGGUGACCGGCCACAUUGGGACUGAGAUACGGCCCAGACUCCUACGGGAGGCAGCAGUGGGGAAUAUUGCACAAUGGGCGGAAGCCUGAUGCAGCAACGCCGCGUGCGGGAUGACGGCCUUCGGGUUGUAAACCGCUUUCGCCUGUGAUGAAGCGUGAGUGACGGUAAUGGGUAAAGAAGCACCGGCUAACUACGUG
rnacentral:rRNA from 1 species